rnacentral:rRNA from 1 species
AUUGAACGCUGGCGGAAUGCUUUACACAUGCAAGUCGAACGGCAGCACGGACUUCGGUCUGGUGGCGAGUGGCGAACGGGUGAGUAAUACAUCGGAACGUGCCCAGUCGUGGGGGAUAACGUAGCGAAAGCUACGCUAAUACCGCAUACGAUCUAAGGAUGAAAGCGGGGGAUCGCAAGACCUCGCGCGAUUGGAGCGGCCGAUGGCAGAUUAGGGAGUUGGUAGGGUAAAGGCCUACCAAGCCGACGAUCUGUAGCUGGUCUGAGAGGAUGAUCAGCCACACUGGGACUGAGACACGGCCCAGACUCCUACGGGAGGCAGCAGUGGGGAAUUUUGGACAAUGGGCGCAAGCCUGAUCCAGCCAUUCCGCGUGCAGGAUGAAGGCCUUCGGGUUGUAAACUGCUUUUGUACAGAACGAAAAGGCUCUGGUUAAUACCCGGGGCUCAUGACGGUACUGUAAGAAUGAGCACCGGCUAACUACGUGCCAGCCGCCGCCGUAA